UUAUGUCUUAAUACCUGGGUGAUGAUGAUGUGGCCGCUCCGUGUUCCUGAGCGCACGCAGAAGCUGUCUUGGCCCACUAAGAAAAACAUGAACAGACGGGACCACCCAACCGGAAAGAAUCUUCUCUGGAAUUCGUCAGAUGAAACCUCCCGCACAGUAACUCAAAAGGUCCAAAAUCCAGAUUAUCAGCUCUUGAGUACUGACGGAAAGCUCACUGCUUGGGGCGCCUGGGUGGCUCAGUUGGUUGGACGACUGCCUUCAGCUCAGGUCAUGAUCCUGGAGUCCUAGGAUGGAGUCCCGCAUCGGGCUCCCAGCAUCAUGGGGAGUCUGCUUCUCCCUCUGACCUUCUCAUCACUCAUGUUCUCUCUCACUGUCUCUCUCUCAAAUAAAUAAAUAAAAAUCUUUAAAAAAAAAGAAAGAAAGAAAGAAAGCUCACUGCUUUACAACAAAUGAUGAAUAAAUUAAUGAAGUGAGAAUUUUUUGCAUAAAGUUUGUCAGUUUGAGCCCUUUACCAAUUAUACACAUUUCAGCCUACUUAAAGAGAAGAAAUACUAUAAACACUUGACACCGUUAUGAAGCAUUUUAUAUUUUCAGCUUGAAGUUUGAGAGACACUGUGUGACUGAAGUAUGUCAUUCUUCUUAACUGAAUAAUCCCAGAACCUCCAGGUUGAUACUUGGAGAUUCUGCUAUUUGAAAAGUAGAUGGAUUAUGCAGCCCUGUUUUCUGAAAAUUCAUUUUGUCCUUGGAAUUAUUCUCUAUUUGCUGGCACUACUACUUGGCCUCAAAAUAUCAGCAUGUAACUUUUUCUUAAUACUUUGCAAUAUAGCUGAGAAGAGACUAAAUUUGAACUUAUAGCAAUAUAACUUAAAGCUGGAACAUUAUAGGGGCACCUGGGUGACUCAGUGGGCUAAGCCUCUGCCUUUGGUUCAGGUCAUGAUCUCAGGGUCCUGGGAUGGAGCCCUGCAUCNNNNNNNNNNNNNNNNNNNNCCCUGCAUCAGGUUCUCUGCUCAGCAGGGAGCCUGCUCCCCACCCCCCCCCCCCACCCCCGCCUCUCUGCCUACUUGUGAUCUCUGUCAAAUAAAUAAAAUAUUUUUAAAAAACUAACAUUAUAAAUGGUUUAGGGUACUUAUUUAGGUUUAUAAAUUUAUGAUUUAGGGUAUUUAUUUAGAUGUAUGUUUAAAAAUACUUUUCAGGACGCCUGGGUGGCUCAGUGGGUUAAAGCCUCUUGCCUUCCGCUCAUGAUCCUAGGGUCCUGGGAUGGAUUCCCAAGUAAAUAAAUAAAUAAAUCUUUUUAAAAAACAAAAAUACUUUUCUAAUGGAAAAAGGUGAAUGAAUAUUAGAACCCACAAAAUAAGGGUAAUCUUAUGUACAAAGUAUAAUUACUUACUUUCAGCUUUUUCUGCAGAGCUGCUGCUUCCCUGUGGCAGAGGCCAUUUUUAAACCCAUCUUACCAUGGGAUAGCUCCU
rnacentral:lncRNA from 1 species